rnacentral:rRNA from 1 species
AAUAGAUACCCGGGUAGUCCACGCCGUAAACGAUGAGUGCUAAGUGUUAGAGGGUUUCCGCCCUUUAGUGCUGCAGCUAACGCAUUAAGCACUCCGCCUGGGGAGUACGGCCGCAAGGCUGAAACUCAAAGGAAUUGACGGGGGCCCGCACAAGCGGUGGAGCAUGUGGUUUAAUUCGAAGCAACGCGAAGAACCUUACCAGGUCUUGACAUCCUCUGACACUCCUAGAGAUAGGAAUUUCCCCUUCGGGGGACAGAGUGACAGGUGGUGCAUGGUUGUCGUCAGCUCGUGUCGUGAGAUGUUGGGUUAAGUCCCGCAACGAGCGCAACCCUUGAUCUUAGUUGCCAGCAUUCAGUUGGGCACUCUAAGGUGACUGCCGGUGACAAACCGGAGGAAGGUGGGGAUGACGUCAAAUCAUCAUGCCCCUUAUGACCUGGGCUACACACGUGCUACAAUGGAUGGUACAAAGGGCAGCAAAACCGCGAGGUCGAGCCAAUCCCAUAAAACCAUUCUCAGUUCGGAUUGCAGG